GGAUGUGAGGGCAAUCUGGCUGCGACAUCUGUCGCCCCACUGAUUACCAGGGUUGAUUCGGCUGAUCUGGCUGGCUAGGCGGGUGUCCUCUUCCUCCCUCAGCCCUCCAUGUGUGUACCUCCUGAAGCGGACUGGUCUUCAGUCAAGGGUAGACGAGUAGCUGUGCUCCCCUGCUAGAACCUCCAAACAAGCUCUCAAGAAGGAGUGAUUUAGACUCAUCAAUUUAUAAAAUACUUUGCUGUACAAGUUGGGUAAGCUGAGUG
rnacentral:snRNA from 10 species